UCCUACGGGACGCAGCAGUGGGGAAUAUUGGGCAAUGGGCGAAAGCCUGACCCAGCCACGCCGCGUGAGUGAUGAAGGCCUUCGGGUCGUAAAGCUCUGUGGGGAGGGACGAACAAGCAGGCACCAAAUAAGUGCAGGCCCUGACGGUACCUCCUUAGCAAGCACCGGCUAACCAUGUGCCAGCAGCCGCGGUAAUACAUGGGGUGCAAACGUUGCUCGGAAUUAUUGGGCGUAAAGCGCGCGUAGGCGGUCGCUUAAGUCGGAUGUGAAAGCCCUCGGCUUAACUGAGGAAGUGCAUCCGAGACUGAAUGGCUAGAGUACGAAAGAGGGUCGCGGAAUUCCCGGUGUAGAGGUGAAAUUCGUAGAUAUCGGGAGGAACACCGGCGGCGAAGGCGGCGACCUGGUUCGAGACUGACGCUGAGGCGCGAAAGCGUGGGGAGCAAACAGGAUUAGAUACCCCCGUAC
rnacentral:rRNA from 1 species